rnacentral:rRNA from 1 species
GACGUAGGGUCCAAGCGUUGUCCGGAUUUACUGGGCGUAAAGAGCGCGUAGGCGGCUUGAUAAGUGUGAUGUGAAAUCUCCAGGGCUUAACCCGGAAAUUGCACCGCAGACUGUCAGGCUUGAGGAAUGCAGAGGUAACUGGAAUUCCUGGUGUAGCGGUGAAAUGCGUUGAUAUCAGGAGGAACACCCAUGGCGAAGGCGGGUCUCUGGGCCGAUGACUGACGCUGAGGAGCGAAAGCGUGGGAGCGAACAGG